GGGUUAAGGUCCUGGCUGCCAUUUAAUUUGACCUUGGGUAAAGGCAAGAUCUGACUCUGCAUGACUAGCUCGGUCGCCUCUCCUGGUCCCAGCCUUGCUGAGUCCAUCAUCCCCAGAACUGAUGUGGAACACAGGAAGCAUGGGCUACAGUGCCCAGUAGACAAAGAUUCCAUUCUGCUGUUUACCAUCUGACUUUACGGAAGGGGGAGAACUUCAGGAGCCUUGUCUGGUUAUGCUGUAUCCCCUGCUUGAGACCCUGUCCUUCAAAAACAACCAAGCUAAGUCUCAACAAAGGACAGCUUUUUUUGAGCUUGAUUGAAAGCCAAACUCCCCUCACUGAACUGUCCAUGUAUGCACACCAUGAC